rnacentral:tRNA from 13 species
GGCUCCAUGGCUUAGUUGGUUAAAGAGCCUGUCUAGUAAACAGGAGAUCGCGAGUUCGAAUCUCGCCGGUGCCU